CCUUCGGGCGUCAAGAGUCUCAUUAUCUUCAUCUCCGGGGCCUGACGGGAUAACUCCAAAAUCUGCCAGGGAGGUGCCAUCAGGUAUUAUGCUGCGUAUAAUGAACGUAAUUCUAUGGUGCGGUAAUCUACCACACUCUAUACGACUGGCCAGAACCGUCUUCAUCCCGAAGACGGUGACGGCGAAGCGACCACAAGACUUUCGUCCAAUAUCAGUGCCUUCAGUCCUGGUAAGACAGCUAAAUGCAAUAUUGGCAACCCGGUUGAACUCAUCAAUCAAUUGGGACCCGCGCCAGCGGGGCUUCUUACCAACCGACGGAUGCGCUGAUAAUGCGACGAUAGUUGACUUAGUCUUAAGGCAUAGCCAUAAGCACUUUAGAUCUUGCUACAUCGCAAAUUUAGAUGUAAGCAAGGCAUUUGAUUCUCUAUCACAUGCAUCUAUAUACGACACCUUACGUGCUUAUGGUGCGCCAAAGGGCUUCGUUGACUACGUACAGAACACGUACGAGGGCGGUGGUACCAGUCUCAAUGGGGACGGUUGGAGUUCAGAGGAAUUCGUCCCUGCUAGAGGAGUGAAGCAGGGUGAACCUUUGUGUUCCAUAGAACCAUACCCAGCGAAAUUGUUGGCAAAGUCGGAAACGCCAUGACUAACGCGGCCGCGUUUGCAGAUGAUUUGGUACUAUUUGCGGAAACUCGGAUGGGGCUUCAAAUAUUGUUGGACAAGACGUUGUCCGUCUAUCGUCGGCCUCAAACUUAAUGCCGACAAAUAUUUUACCGUUGGCAUUAAGGGCCAGCCGAAACAGAAGUGUACCGUGUUAGAGGCACAGAGCUUCUACGUAGGCUCGAGUGAGAUUCCAUCACUGAAGCGCACGGACGAGUGGAAGUACUUAGGCAACAACUUCACUGCAACCGGAAGGGUUCGAUGCAAUCCGGCCGAGGACAUUGAUCCAAAGCUACAAAGAUUGACAAAGGCCCCCCUCAAACCACAACAGAGGUUGUUCGCCCUUCGGACUGUCCUUAUCCCACAGCUAUACCACAAGUUAGCCCUUGGGAGUGUGGCGAUAGGAGUCCUACGAAAAACUGACAAACUUAUAAGAUACUAUGUGCGAAGAUGGCCAAAUCUUCCGCUGGAUGUGCCGAUAGCAUUUGUUCAUGCACCCCCAAAAAGUGGAGGUCUCGGAAUUCCAUCACUAAGAUGGGUAGCUCCAAUGUUAAGGCUAAGACGAUUGAGUAACAUUAAAUGGCCUCACCUCACGCAAAACGAGGUAGCCAGCUCUUUCCUCGAAGCCGAAAAACAACGGGCCCGAGAUAGAUUAUUAGCUGAACAAAAUGAAUUGUUAUCGCGUCCGGCAAUAGAAAAAUAUUGGGCGAACAAGUUGUACUUCUCAGUUGAUGGUAGCGGACUCCGUGAAGCGGUCCAUUAUAGCCCGCAACACGGGUGGGUUAGACAACCCACGCGUUUAUUAACAGGAAAGGAAUAUAUAGACGGUAUUCGUCUGCGGAUAAAUGCCCUACCCACAAAGUCUCGUACUACAAGGGGAAGGCACGAAUUGGAACGACAGUGUCGUGCAGGAUGUGAUGCUCCCGAAACAACAAACCACAUAAUGCAAAAAUGCUACCGCUCGCAUGGGAGGCGGAUAGCUAGACACAACUGCGUAGUAAAUCGAAUCAAGCGGGGACUUGAGGAGAGAGGCUGCGUGGUCAUUGUUGAACCAAGUCUGCAGUGCGAAUCCGGCCUUAAUAAACCAGAUCUGGUGGCACUACGACAAAAUCACAUUGAUGUGAUCGACAUACAAAUUGUGACAGACGGACACUCAAUGGAUGAUGCACACCAGGGCAAAAUCAAUAGAUACGACAGGCCGGACAUACGAACUGAAUUGCGUCGCAGAUUCGAAGCCGCAGGUGACAUUGAAUUCCAUUCUGCCACCCUGAACUGGAGGGGGAUCUGGAGUGGUCAAUCCGUUAAAAGAUUGAUAGCAAAGGGUCUCCUCAGAAAAUAUGAUAGUCAUAUCAUUAAAUAAAUAAAUAAAAAUAAAUAGCCAAAUGCCUCUUCAUCUAAUUAGUGACGCGCAUGAAUGGAUUAACGAGAUUCCUACUGUCCCUAUCUACUAUCUAGCGAAACCACAGCCAAGGGAACUGCCUUGGAAUAAUUAGCGGGGAAAGAAGACCCUUUUGAGCUUGACUCUAAUCUGGCAGUGUAAGGAGACAUAAGAGGUGUAGAAUAAGUGGGAGAUAUUAGACCUCGGUUUGGUAUCGUCAAUGAAAUACCACUAAUCUUAUUGUUUCCUUACUUACUUGAUUAAAUGGAACGUGUAUAAUUUCCUAGCCAUUAUACGGAUAUAUUUAUUAUAUCUUAUGGUAUUGGGUUUUGGUGCAAGCUUCUUGAUCAAAGUAUCACGAGUUUGUUAUAUUAUAUAUCGCAAACAAAUUCUUUAAUAAAAGGAUGCAUUUAUGUAUUUUUGAUUUGAAAAUUUGGUAUAACUCCAAUUACUCAGGUAUGAUCCAAUUCAAGAACAUUGCCAGAUAGGGAGUUUGACUGGGGCGGUACAUCUCUCAAAUAAUAACGGAGGUGUCCCAAGGCCAGCUCAGUGCGGACAGAAACCACACAUAGAGCAAACGGGCAAAUGCUGACUUGAUCUCGGUGUUCAGUACACACAGGGACAGCAAAAGCUCGGCCUAUCGAUCCUUUUGGUUUAAAGAGUUUUUAACAAGAGGUGUCAGAAAAGUUACCAUAGGGAUAACUGGCUUGUGGCGGCCAAGCGUUCAUAGCGACGUCGCUUUUUGAUCCUUCGAUGUCGGCUCUUCCUAUCCAUGUGGAGCAAAAUUCACCAAGCGUUGGAUGUUCACCCAGGGAACGUGAGCUAGGUUUAGACCGUCGUGAGACAGAUUAGUUUUACCCUACUAAUGACAAAACCUUGUUGCGACAGUAAUCCUGCGUAGUACGAGAGGAACCGCAGGUACGGACCAAUGGCACAAUACUUGUUCGAGCGAACAGUGGUAUGACGCUACGUCCGUUGGAUUAUGCCUGAACGCCUCUAAGGUCGUCUCCGUGCUGGACUGCAAUGAUAAAUAAGGGGCAAUUUGCAUUGUAUGCCUUCUAAACCAUUUAAAGUUUAUAAUUUACUUUAUAAACGACAAUGGAUGUGAUGCCAAUGUAAUUUGUAACAUAGUAAAUUGAGAGGAUUUUCGAUCACAUGAUGACGCGCUAGUUACAUAU
rnacentral:rRNA from 1 species